AGGGCACUUGCACUAGAAACAGUGGGCAGACCGCCGGGGGAGGGGCAGUUUUCAUGGUUAACCAUCCCAAAGCUUGAAACGCCGCUCCGCCCCAAAGAUGUGAUUUGCACAGCAAGAGGCCCCACAGUAAACAGAGGGAGCAGACGCACUGCUCAAGGGCUCCUCAUUCAUCUCGACAUCCCAAGGACACUGACAGCUGGCCCUCGUGACGGGACAAUGAGUCUGUGAGGAGCUCCAGCCGAGAGACGCUGGCUGAGGGCCCUUUUCUGACU
ensembl:lncRNA